rnacentral:lncRNA from 1 species
ACUCUAGUUAAGCCACCUUCCUAGAGGGCCCUCCGGUUCUUUUACUGUUAUUGUUUGGUUAUUAUUUGGAUGUUUUAAUUACUGUCAUUUGCAAGGAAGUAUACUGUUGUUUAAGAGCCUCUUCUACACACGUCGCCCAUUUAGGUCUUGAAUCGCUUGCCUGACCUAUCUUCAAAGCAGACACCUGGCAUCCUGCCUACUUACCCAGUCUGAGGGAGCUGCACCUGCCCAGACCAUUAAGGGGGUUGAAAAACAUCAGCCUGGCAGGAUCUGGACAGCCUGUAAUUCCGGCAUUAGGGAAAGAGGUUGAGGCAGGAGGAUUCCAAAUACAAGGCUAGCUUCAGCUACAAAGCAAGAUCCUGUCUCAGCAAAAGAAAAGAUGAGAAAUACUGCAGGACCGUAGCAUAGCUUACUAAAACUUGUGGUCCUGGCAGGAAGACCCAAGAGACAAGAGAAAAGAAACAGGGAAAGGGUAAAGAAGAGCCCGAGCCCCACCAAACAGAAGGAUGGGUGAAAAAAAAGAAAGCAAAGGAAGAAAGUGGGUAUACAGACAGAUCAUGUCUUCUGAAAGGACAGCUGAGUCUCCAGCCGUGCGUGGCAGUUUGGCCACUAACAGGGAACUUCA